rnacentral:rRNA from 1 species
UACGGAGGGUGCAAGCGUUAUCCGGAUUCACUGGGUUUAAAGGGUGCGUAGGCGGGUUGGUAAGUCCGUGGUGAAAUCCCCAAGCUUAACUUGGGAACUGCCGUGGAUACUAUCAAUCUUGAAUAUCGUGGAGGUAAGCGGAAUAUGUCAUUGUAGCGGUGAAAUGCUUAGAUAUGACAUAGAACACAAUUGCGUAGGCAGCUUACUACACGAUCAUUGACGCUGAGGCACGAAAGCGUGGGGAGCAAACAGG